AUUGAACGCUGGCGGCAGGCCUAACACAUGCAAGUCGAGCGGAGCGGCGGACGGGUGAGUAAUGCCUAGGAAUCUGCCUGGUAGUGGGGGAUAACGUCCGGAAACGGGCGCUAAUACCGCAUACUAUCAGAUGAGCCUAGGUCGGAUUAGCUAGUUGGUUGGGUAAAGGCCUACCAAGGCGACGAUCCGUAACUGGUCUGAGAGGAUGAUCAGUCACACGGGAACUGAGACACGGUCCAGACUCCGACUGGAGGCAGCAGUGGUGAAUAUUGCACAAUGGGCGCAAGCCUACUGCAGCCAUGCCGCUGGUAUGAAGAAGGCCUUCGGGUUGUAAAGUACUUUCAGCGGGGGGGCGUUACCCGCAGAAGAAGCACCGGCUAACUCCGUGCCAGCCGCCGCGGUAAUUC
rnacentral:rRNA from 1 species